CACGUAGGGUGCGAGCGUUGUCCGGAAUUAUUGGGCGUAAAGAGCUCGUAGGCGGCUUGUUGCGUCGGAUGUGAAAGCCCGGGGCUUAACUCCGGGUCUGCAUUCGAUACGGGCAGGCUAGAGUUCGGUAGGGGAGAUCGGAAUUCCUGGUGUAGCGGUGGUAAAUGACGCAGAUAUCAGGAGGAACACCGGUGGCGAAGGCGGAUCUCUGGGCCGAUACUGACGCUGAGGAGCGAAAGCGUGGGGAGCGAACAGG
rnacentral:rRNA from 1 species